rnacentral:rRNA from 1 species
CACCGCCCGUCACACCAUGGGAGUUGGUUUCACCCGAAGGCAGUGCGCUAACCGCAAGGAGGCAGCUGACCACGGUGGGAUCAGCGACUGGGUG